GGAUGAACGCUGGCGGCGUGCCUAAUACAUGCAAGUCGAGCGAACGGACGAGAAGCUUGCUUCUCUGAUGUUAGCGGCGGACGGGUGAGUAACACGUGGAUAACCUACCUAUAAGACUGGGAUAACUUCGGGAAACCGGAGCUAAUACCGGAUAAUAUUUUGAACCGCAUGGUUCAAAAGUGAAAGACGGUCUUGCUGUCACUUAUAGAUGGAUCCGCGCUGCAUUAGCUAGUUGGUAAGGUAACGGCUUACCAAGGCAACGAUGCAUAGCCGACCUGAGAGGGUGAUCGGCCACACUGGAACUGAGACACGGUCCAGACUCCUACGGGAGGCAGCAGUAGGGAAUCUUCCGCAAUGGGCGAAAGCCUGACGGAGCAACGCCGCGUGAGUGAUGAAGGUCUUCGGAUCGUAAAACUCUGUUAUUGGGGAAGAACAUAUGUGUAAGUAACUGUGCACAUCUUGACGGUACCUAAUCAGAAAGCCACGGCUAACUACGUG
rnacentral:rRNA from 1 species